rnacentral:lncRNA from 1 species
UUUUUCAGAUCAAAUGAUGCGGAGGCACCAAUAGCAUUGUUGCCACCGGUUGUCAGCACAGAGAACCAUCUCUUUGCUGGAUCACUCUCUCCAGACUAAUCAGCAGCAAAAAGAAGAGGAGAUGCAAUCAUGAAUUAUGUUUCCAGAGAAAUGGAGUUGAGAAAUCAGAUACAGACAGACAGCGUAGUAAAAUUGAGGUAAAAUAACCAAAUGGUGACAUAUAAAAAGAGAGGGCAUACGAGCUGGUGGUCAAGGGAAUAAAUGGGGCGGUGGCGCGCAGCGGCGCUGCGGAGGAUCGCGGGGACGGAACGCCUCGAUAACCUGUGCAUUUUGGGAGAGAGAGAGAGAGAUUGCAGCAGAAUUUGGAGGUUGUGGUAGGGUUUAAGAAGCAGAGGGUUUUAGCCUUGUAGGAGUGUGGAAGGUUCUGGAGCAGAGAUUGAGAGUGAAAUGUGCAUUUCUGUUUUACUCUUUGGGCCUUUCACACAUUACUUGAAUAGUUGGGCUGGGCUGGGCUAUCAUCUAUGGGCUUGCACCAACUUCGGCUUUGGAUUAUACCACAUGUACACUUGUUUAUUUUUAUUUGAGUUAUUGGCACCUUUGUUUCUUUUUUUUUUUGAGAGACAUGAUUAUUGGCAUCUAAAUACACGAAUUUUGCAUUCACUUUAAUUUUUUUUCAUGAACUUUGAAAGUAGUUAAAGAAUACACGAACUUUAACUCAUUUUGUUAAUUUUCAUAAACUGAGAACUGUUAAAAAAUACAUGAAUUUUGGCUUAUUUUGUUUUUUUAUAAAAAAUAAUCCAAAUAAUAAUUUUAUA